rnacentral:rRNA from 1 species
UAUCUCUGUAGAGUCUGCAUAUCAAUAAGCGGAGGAAAAGAAACUAACUAGGAUUCCCUCAGUAACGGCGAGCUGAAGCGGGAAGAGCUCAAAUUUGAAAUCUUCAAGGUUCUACCUUGACGAAUUGUAGUUUAAAGAAGUGUUUUCUGUUGGAGUUUUGGUAAAAGUUCUUUGGAAUAGGACAUCAUAGAGGGUGAGAAUCCCGUAUUUGACCAUUAUUUCCAGCUUUGUGAUACACUUUCAAAGAGUCGGAUUGUUUGGGAAUGCAGUCCAAAAUGGGUGGUAAAUUUCAUCUAAAGCUAAAUACUGGCGAGAGACCGAUAGCGAACAAGUACCAGUGAGGGAAAGAUGAAAAGAACUUUGAAAAGAGAGUUAAACAGUACGUGAAAUUGUCAAAAGGGAAGCGUUUGACACCAGUGUUAUUUUCUCGAAAAUCAAUUAAAAACGGCUAGGAUUUUGUGUUGUAUUGACUUUAUCAGCUUUCUGCACUCUUUUCUUGUCUUUUUUUAAUGCACUUUUCGUUUAACAAGUCAACAUCAAUUUCUUUUGUUGUAAAAGGGUCAUUGGAAGGUGGCUUUCUUUUCGGAGAAAGUGUUUAUAGCCUUUGGCCUCUGCAAUCGGAGAGAUUGAGGUCUGCAGCGUAGAUCCUUCGGGGUUAGAUACAUUUGUGCUAAGUUAUAGCCUUUCAUAGACAACUUGUUGACUAUGAUCAGUCAUGUAGCUUACUCGCUUAUGCUAUUUUACCUACGCUUAGGAUGUUGAUAGUCACAGCGUGUAC